rnacentral:rRNA from 1 species
UACAGGAACAUCUUGCUGUUUCGCUGACGAGUGGCGGACGGGUGAGUAAUGUCUGGGAAACUGCCUGAUGGAGGGGGAUAACUACUGGAAACGGUAGCUAAUACCGCAUAACGUCGCAAGACCAAAGAGGGGGACCUUCGGGCCUCUUGCCAUCGGAUGUGCCCAGAUGGGAUUAGCUAGUAGGUGGGGUAACGGCUCACCUAGGCGACGAUCCCUAGCUGGUCUGAGAGGAUGACCAGCCACACUGGAACUGAGACACGGUCCAGACUCCUACGGGAGGCAGCAGUGGGGAAUAUUGCACAAUGGGCGCAAGCCUGAUGCAGCCAUGCCGCGUGUAUGAAGAAGGCCUUCGGGUUGUAAAGUACUUUCAGCGGGGAGGAAGGGAGUAAAGUUAAUACCUUUGCUCAUUGACGUUACCCGCAGAAGAAGCACCGGCUAACUCCGUGCCAGCAGCCGCGGUAAUACGGAGGGUGCAAGCGUUAAUCGGAAUUACUGGGCGUAAAGCGCACGCAGGCGGUUUGUUAAGUCAGAUGUGAAAUCCCCGGGCUCAACCUGGGAACUGCAUCUGAUACUGGCAAGCUUGAGUCUCGUAGAGGGGGGUAGAAUUCCAUGUGUAGCGGU